rnacentral:rRNA from 1 species
UACGGGGGGGGCAAGCGUUGUUCGGAAUUACUGGGCGUAAAGGGCUUGUAGGUGGCCAACUAAGUCAGACGUGAAAUCCCUCAGCUUAACUGGGGAACUGCUUCUGAUACUGGAUGGCUUGAGUUUGGGAGAGGGAUGCGGAAUUCCAGGUGUAGCGGUGAAAUGCGUAGAUAUCUGGAGGAACACCGGUGGCGAAGGCGGCAUCCUGGACUAACACUGACACUGAGGAGCGAAAGCCAGGGGAGCAAACGGG